CGGCGGACGGGUGAGUAACGCGUGGGUAACCUGCCUCGUACAGGGGGAUAACAGUUGGAAACGGCUGCUGAUACCGCAUAAGCGCACAGUACCGCAUGGUACGGUGUGAAAAACUCCGGUGGUAUGAGAUGGACCCGCGUCUGAUUAGGUAGUUGGUGGGGUAACGGCCUACCAAGCCGACGAUCAGUAGCCGACCUGAGAGGGUGACCGGCCACAUUGGGACUGAGACACGGCCCAA
rnacentral:rRNA from 1 species